rnacentral:rRNA from 1 species
AAGUGGAGCAAUUCAUGAGUAAAGUGGCGACCGGGUGAGUAACACGUGACUACCUACCUUCUAGUGGGGGAUAACUCCGAGAAAUCGGAGCUAAUACCGCAUAACAUCGCAAGAUCAAAGCAGCAAUGCGCUGGAAGAGGGGGUCGCGGCUGAUUAGCUUGUUGGCGGGGUAAUGGCCCACCAAGGCAAAGAUCGGUAUCCGGCCUGAGAGGGCGCACGGACACACUGGAACUGAAACACGGUCCAGACUCCUACGGGAGGCAGCAGUGGGGAAUUUUGCGCAAUGGGGGAAACCCUGACGCAGCAACGCCGCGUGGAGGAUGAAGUCCCUUGGG